CAGUCGCCACGGUAAUACGAAGGGGGCUAGCGUUGUUCGGAUUUACUGGGCGUAAAGGGCGCGUAGGCGGGCGAAUAAGUCAGGGGUGAAAUCCCAAGGCUCAACCUUGGAACUGCCUUUGAUACUGUUUGUCUUGAGUCCGGGAGAGGUGAGUGGAACUGCGAGUGUAGAGGUGAAAUUCGUAGAUAUUCGCAAGAACACCAGUGGCGAAGGCGGCUCACUGGCCCGGAACUGACGCUGAGGCGCGAAAGCGUGGGGAGCAAACAGGAUUAGAUACCCCGGUAGUCCCUGUCUCUUAUAC
rnacentral:rRNA from 1 species